rnacentral:rRNA from 1 species
UACAGAGGUCUCGAGCGUUGUUCGGAUUCAUUGGGCGUAAAGGGCGCGUAGGCGGCGGGGUAAGUCUGGUGUGAAAUCUCGGAGCUCAACUCCGAAAAUUGCACUGGAUACUGCUCUGCUAGAGGGCUGGAGAGGAGAUCGGAAUUCACGGUGUAGCAGUGAAAUGCGUAGAUAUCGUGAGGAAGACCAGUGGCGAAGGCGGAUCUCUGGACAGCUCCUGACGCUGAGGCGCGAAGGCUAGGGGAGCAAACGGG